ACGUACCUAGCUCAGAGAGUCUCUAAAACUAUUUCACAGAGAUGGUAGAAAACAUGAAGAAAAAGCAGCCUCCUGGGGAGCACUGAGCCCAUUUCACCACAAGAGAAAAACACCUUAGACAACCCAAGCCUCAAACUCCCCUGGAGGAGGCAAUUUCCCCCCCUCCAGCUCCUCAUGCUUCCUAUAUAGCAAAGGUCAAAUGAUCCACACCUGGCAGAUUUCACUUAACAAGGGUGGAGCCAAGAGACCUUGUGGAAUAGGCUCAUCUACCUGGCUUCAAUGUUUUAAGGUUGAUUGCUCCUUAUCACUAGUAGAAACAACCUGGCAAGGGGCUUAGUGGUUAGAGUUGACCUAAUGAAUUAACUGCAAAAGGUGCAUAAGGGUCAUAUUUCUGUUAGUCAUUUUGUGAGGAAAAUUAGUACAGAGCCUGUUAAAAUAAGAUAAAUAAAAAUAAAUAAAAGAAAUAAAUUCAAGAAAAAA